UGGUAUUUGAAGAAAAGAAGCAAAGGGGCAGUAAAGAGAGGAGAGGAGGGAAGGAAGUAGGAGGUGAAGAACAGGCAGAUGCCCUGGAGCUCCAGUCUGUCUUCAGAAGGACUGGAAUCAAGGGUGCCACUGAAGGAGGUCAUGGAGCAAGGAAGGUAAUGUCAAGCCACAUCAGAGUUCAUCAGGGAUGAGAUACCUGUCAAGGAUUUGUGGCAGAGUGGCACACUGGAAUAAAAACACAGAAUCUCUUAUAAGGGUCGUAUAAGAACAAAUGAGAUAAUUCCCAGAAUUGGCCUGGAGUUUUUUCCGGAAAAAG
ensembl:lncRNA